rnacentral:rRNA from 1 species
CCAAUAGCGUAUAUUAAAGUUGUUGCAGUUAAAAAGCUCGUAGUUGAAUUUCGGGAUUGACGUGAUGGUCAUGCCUUAAGGGGUAUGAACUGUUGCAGUUGAUUUCUCACCUUCUGGAGAAACUUGAUGUCCUUUAUUGGGUGUCUUGCGGAACCAGGACCUUUACCUUGAAAAAAUUAGAGUGUUUAAAGCAGGCAUUUUUGCUCGAAUACAUUAGCAUGGAAUAAUAGAAUAGGACGGCAUGGUUCUAUUUUGUUGGUUUCUAGGAUCACCGUAAUGAUUAAUAGGGAUAGUUGGGGGCAUUAGUAUUCAAUUGUCAGAGGUGAAAUUCUUGGAUUUAUUGAAGACUAACUACUGCGAAAGCAUUUGCCAAGGAUGUUUUCAUUAAUCAAGAACGAAAGUUAGGGGAUCGAAGACGAUCAGAUACCGUCGUAGUCUUAACCAUAAACUAUGCCGACUAGGAAUCAGACGAUGUUAAUUUUUUAAUGACUCGUUUGGCACCUUAC